rnacentral:rRNA from 1 species
UACGUAGGGUGCGAGCGUUGUCCGGAAUUACUGGGCGUAAAGAGUUCGUAGGCGGUUUGUCGCGUCGUUCGUGAAAACUUGGGGCUUAACUCCAAGCGUGCGGGCGAUACGGGCAGACUUGAGUACUACAGGGGAGACUGGAAUUCCUGGUGUAGCGGUGAAAUGCGCAGAUAUCAGGAGGAACACCGGUGGCGAAGGCGGGUCUCUGGGCCGAUACUGACGCUGAGGAGCGAAAGCUAGGGGAGCAAACAGG